GGAUUAAAUAGUCCACAUACUACAAAUCAAUUCAAAAGGGUCCAGCUCUAGCCGCUCUGGCAGAGGUGUCAUUGAUGGGUUCAAUGGUUGUAUCUUAGAAUAGGAAUAUCAGGUGGGACCUUUCCCAGUUAGAGGCAGGGCUACCUACAUAUACAUGUACUGUCUUCUGAGGCUCGAGUGUGAGGCGAGCGUGAUAACCGCUACACUACGGAAACGACAACGGAACCGUUUUCUCUCAUUUUACAAUCCAAGUCAAACACUAUAACUUUGCUAAAGUGUAGUCUCGAAGUUACAGAUCCACAUUAACUAAGAAAACUUUGAGAAGUGCAACGAAAAUAGAGAUUUAAAACGAUAGAGGAGAAGCGAGAACCUGUCACAGGGAAAGAAUAAGAAAUGCACCUCGGGCGGAGCGGAGGAGGGAAGAGUUCACGGGAAGAAGCGCGGGAGUAGGGAUUCCCGCAUUGAGACGCAGCGCUGCAUCACAGGGGAAUCGCAUGCGUGUAAAACACACAGAGGAGGUUGGGAGAGCCUGAUUACCUGGAGACACCUCGAGGAGAAUGUUGUAGUCGCUGGAGAGCUUUUGAGAGAACCCGGGCAGGAGGUAGAGUUUAGAAAUGGAAAAUUGAGACUAGUGGGACGGAAGCCACAUUUCAUUCAGGCCAAGAGGAGGUUGGGCCAUGCGAUGCUGUUGGCCGUGCAGAUCCGUGAGAGCACAAAAACCCUCCAAUAACGCGGGCGAGUGAGCAAAGAGAUGGACAAGGAAAAGAUUCCAGAGAGGCGGGCAGAGAACUUACAAGUACUAAGUGGUUUAAGAAAAGUCUAAACCUGGUUAAACAGAAGAGAUUCUGCACCAGUGUCUGUGGAGUGAAGGAAUAGAAACGCUCAAAAACAACUGUCAAACACACAAACUAGAGCGUGCACGAUGUGGGUGUGAGAAACUGGCAACCACACCAGCUCUCUUCUGUUUUUGAGGAUGGAUAGCAAACAUUUCAACUGUGGUGCUUCUCAUUCUGCCUGCUCAGCUGUGUCUCUUCUUCCUGGUUCAUUCCUCGGAGCAGCACCCUCGGUGUCUACAGUAAUUGACAUUACAUCAACGUCUGCUUGCAGGAGGGAAGGCCUGAAGCAAUGUCAGCAUCAGGGAAAAGACUAACUCAUGGCCUGGGUUGUGCACAGGCAUCUGAUCUUAUGCUAUUCCAAGCUGGGUGUUGAAAUGGAAGCGCAGUGGGUGACUACACGAUACAGUUGUGUUUUCAUUUCUCAAGGAAGGCUCUGACUGUCCUGCUGCUUGGCACACAACUUGCAUUUUGACUUUUUACCUUUAGAAUUUUCUUUCCAUUUUAAGUGGCUGAUUAUCUUUGGGGUUAGAGUUGGUGCUGGGCAAAUGUCAAUUAAGAAUAAACAUAUUGACAGCCAA